rnacentral:rRNA from 1 species
UACGGGGGGGGCAAGCGUUGUUCGGAAUUACUGGGCGUAAAGGGCGCGUAGGGGGCGCGGGUAGUCGUCGGUGAAAGCUCAGGGCUCAACCCUGAGUCGGCCGGUGAUACUCCCGUGCUUGAGUGUGGUAGAGGCCAAUGGAAUUCCGGGUGUAGCGGUGGAAUGCGUAGAGAUCCGGAAGAACACCGGUGGCGAAGGCGGUUGGCUGGGCCACAACUGACACUGAUGCGCGACAGCGUGGGGAGCAAACAGG